rnacentral:miRNA from 1 species
AUUGCAGGACUCUCAUUUAAACUUGAAUUUCAGAUAAACAAUAGUAUUUUUAGUAUAAGUAUAUCCCAUGUAAUAUUUGGGACAUACUUACACUAAAAUACUAUUUGUUGUUUAUCUGGAAUUCAAACAUAACUUCUUGCUGUUUUU